AUCCAUUUAUGCAAUCACUGUCCCCCACCAUCUAUCCACCUCAUCUUCUUCAGUAAUAGAACUUGGGAAUUUUAGCUGGGUGCAAGAAUAUUUCGUUUCCCAAUCUUCCUUGCAGCCCGCCAUGACCAAUAGGAUGUAAUUAGACAGUGUGUGAACUUCCAAAAAAUGUCCUUAAAGGAAGGGGGCACGCAUUUCUCCUUCUCUUCAUACUUUGCUUCGAAUUGGAAUGCAAACCUGAUGGCUAGAUCUAAAGCAGCCUUCUUGGACAAUAAGGGUGAUUUUUGUGAACCAAGGCUAUAGUGGUGCCUUCUAGGAAGGGAGGCUUCUGGGAAGUGUGGCCUGGAAAAGACUGGAGGAACAGAAAAAGACGAGAGGAAACCCCACGAGGGUUACUCUGUCAUGAGUUACUGUAAUGGCCUGAGGUGUUUGGCCUCUAGCCAGGAGGUGGCACUUGCAAGAGAGCACCAACUGCAGUAAUAGAAGGGGGAUAUAAGCUUGUGCUAAGUUGGCCAGGAUAUAGAAAUAGGACAGACAAACAGAGUGGGACGAGAAAAUUCCUUCAAGAAUCACAGUUGUUGUGGAUCUCAAGGU
rnacentral:lncRNA from 1 species